rnacentral:misc_RNA from 1 species
CGCACAUUGCGCCCCUCGGUAUUCCGUGGGGCAUGCCUGUUCGAGCGUCAUUUACACCCUCAAGCUCUGCUUGGUGUUGGGCGCCUGUCCCGCUUCGUGCGCGGACUCGCCCCAAAGUCAUUGGCAGCGGUCGUGCCAGCUUCCCGCGCAGCACAUUUGCGCUUCUCGGAGCUUGGUGGAUCAGCGUCCAGUAAGUCCUUCUAUGACUUGACCUCGGAUCAGGUAGGGAUACCCGCUGAACUUAA